rnacentral:misc_RNA from 1 species
UUUAUAUUAUUUAAUUAGUUUUAUGUUUUGGUCUCAGGCUCGGAUAAAGUAGGAGUGGUGUGGUGUUGCGGUAAAAAUUUUGUCACUCUACCUAUUGAUAAAUAUACAAGUUGUGGGGCAUUCACCGAGAGUGAUGCGCCAUGUCGGCGCCCGGGUACGUGUGGUGUUAAGUGAGAACAAACAGUGGAAUAGAAAAAAAGAUAGACAUAAACAAUAGAAGAUAUCAUAGAAGAAGUAUAUGAAUUAAGGAGUUGGAUAGUAAGAGUAUAUAAAAUAAUUAAUGAAACUUGUGGAUACCUUAGAAAGUAUAAGUUUGAAUAUUAAUUGCAUUCAGGAUUAUAAGUUUGAAUAUUAAU